GAUGAACGCUGGCGGCGUGCCUAAUACAUGCAAGUCGAGCGAACGGACGAGACGUUUGCUUCUCUGAUGUUAGCGGCGGACGGGUGAGUAACACGUGGAUCCCCUACCUAUCAGACUGGGAUAACUUCGGGAAACCGGAGAUAAUACCGGAUGAUCUUUUGAACCGCAUGGUUCAAAAGUGAAAGUCGGCCUUGCUGUCUCUUCUCGCUGGAUCCGGGCUGCAUUAGCUAGUUGGUAAGGUAACGGCUUUCCAAGGCAACGAUGCAUAGCCGACGUGAUAGGGGGAUCGGCCACACUAGAGCUUAGACACGGUCCAGACUACUGAGGGACGCAGCAGUAUGGAAUCGGCGGCAAUGGGCGAGAGCCUUACGGAGCGGCGGCACGUGAGAUGUAGAGAUCUUCGGAGCGUGAUGCUCGGUUUUGAGUGAAGAACAGAUUUGGAAUGAGCUGUGCACAGCUUGACGGUACUGAAUCAGAAAGCCACGGCUAACUACGUG
rnacentral:rRNA from 1 species